rnacentral:rRNA from 1 species
ACGCUCGACACCUACUGGAGGCACAGUCGGGAAUAUUGCGCAAUGGAGGAAACUCUGACGCAGUGACGCCGCGUGCAGGAAGAAGGUUUUCGGAUUGUAAACUGCUUUAGACAGGGAAGAAAAAAGACAGUACCUGUAGAAUAAGCUCCGGCUAACUACGUGCCAGCAGCCCGGUAAUCUGAGCGGGCUGGCAAGGC